rnacentral:misc_RNA from 1 species
GCAAAAUUCUUUGAGGAGAGAGCAGCACUAGAAGCGAAAUAUCAAAAAUUGUACCAACCCUUAUAUACCAAGAGAUACGAGAUUGUGAAUGGCACCGUUGAAGUUGAUGGAUCUACAAAUGAGGCAACUAUGGACCAUGAGGAGAAUAAAGCUGCUGAAGAAAAGGGUGUGCCUGAUUUUUGGCUCAUUGCAAUGAAGAACAAUGAAGUGUUAGCUGAGGAGAUAACUGAUCGUGAUGAAGGAGCUCUAAAGUACCUGAAGGAUAUUAAAUGGUGUAGGAUAGACGAUCCCAAGGGAUUCAAGCUUGAGUUCUUC